AUAAUUCUAAAUGAGCUGAGGACAAAAGAUGAAGACGACAGCUCAGAUGGAAAAUUGGCACGUUAAUAUCUGAUAUGUCCCCUAUAUGGGGAUAACGUAUUAAACCCAUUUUUAGGAGAGGGAGCUGAAAAGGGAGCUUGCUCCGCUCACUCCAUGCAUCGACCUGGCAUUGCAGUGCCGCCGGGAACGGUGCACCUUUC